rnacentral:tRNA from 1 species
CGCAGAGUAGAGCAGUUGGUAGCUCGUUGGGUUCAUAACCCAAAGGUCAUAGGUUCGAGUCCUGUCUCUGCAA